rnacentral:rRNA from 1 species
GUCUUUUUGAGUUAUUUUUAAAGUNUAACCUGCCCAAUGAAUUUAAAUUAAAUGGCCGCAGUAUUUUGACUGUGCAAAGGUAGCAUAAUCACUAGUCUUUUAAUUGAAGGCUUGAAUGAAUGGUUGGACGAAGUAUAAUCUGUUUCAUUUAAAUUUAUUAUAGAAUUUUAUAUUUUAGUAAAAAAGCUAAAAUAUUUUUAAAAGACGAGAAGACCCUAUAAAUCUUUAUAAUUUAUUUUUUUUUUAUUUUUUUGAUUAGUUUUGUUUAAAUAAUUUAAAUUAUUUUGUUGGGGUGAUAUUAAAAUUUAAAAAACUUUUAAUUAAUUUUUUUUUCAUUAAUUUAUGUUUUAUUGAUCCAUUAAUAAUGAUUAUAAGAAUAAGUUACUUUAGGGAUAACAGCGUAAUUUUUUUGGAGAGUUCUUAUUGAUAAAAAAGUUUGCGACCUCGAUGUUGGAUUAAGAUAUAAUUUUAGGUGUAGUCGCUUAAAUAAUAAGUCUGUUCGACUUUUAAAUUCUU